UACGGAGGAUGCGAGCGUUAUCCGGAUUUAUUGGGUUUAAAGGGUGCGUAGGUGGUUAUUUAAGUCAGUGGUGAAAGUUUGUCGCUUAACGAUAAAAUUGCCAUUGAAACUGGAUGACUUGAGUAUGUUUGAGGUAGGCGGAAUGCGUAGUGUAGCGGUGAAAUGCUUAGAUAUUACGCAGAACUCCGAUUGCGAAGGCAGCUUACUAAACCAUAACUGACACUGAAGCACGAAAGCGUGGGUAUCAAACAGG
rnacentral:rRNA from 1 species